UGCAAACCCUGAUACAUGUGCACAUUUCUGAUACUCCUCAGCCAAUCACAAUAUACUGGCUGGUAAUUAAGCUCCUGCUGAACUCACAGUGUGGAGAGAGAAAAUAAAUACUUCUGGUUCUGCUAGAGGAAACAGCUCUUAGUGAUAACAGUAACUUAUAAAGAGUUACAUAUGGGAAGCCAUUUGCAGUGUACAACUUUCACCGGUGAACAAUACUGACUAUUUUUGGAUGUUGUUACCUGUUAUAUCAUCCCUCAGCUACAAUAUAGACAACCCGCUUCUUUUCAGACCUGUCACUGUGCAGCACCAGCAAAAAUGUAUUAAGAGAAGAAAAAUGGCACAAUUACUGGAUAUGAAGUUGCUAGAAGUUAACUGAUAUGACUGUCAUGUGCCUAGCAAUUUAGUGUAUCCC